CGUCCCCGGCGUUCCUGGACCUCCCGUGGCCCCGCCGCCUCCCACCACAUCCGGCGAUCAGGAACGCUCCUGGUCAGGCGCAGGGGUUGCGCGCGACCUCCUGCCGCCGCCCGUUCACCCACCCCGAUGCGCCGGGAACCACCUACCCCGCCCAGAUCUGCCGGAGCGCUCGCCGGAUCUUGCCCCAUCGCCGGUUCCCACGACAUAGGCAGCCGUUGGAUCGGUAAGCCACUGCAACCCCUGCAAGAAAGCUCGACGACGGCUUCCCCUGCUUCUUCCUAUGCGUCGCUGGAAGGCCCCCAUCCCCGCGCAAUGCCACCGUCGGAGUACAACUCGUGCAACAGCAGGUCGCCGGAGAAAGCUCGAGCUGCAACUGCUGGAUCACGCCGCCAUGGCCACUCACCUCGGGCCAUCGACGAACUGCCGAGGCCUAAGCAGCGACCUGUCUGAGGCCAAAGCUCGACCUUCAUUCUUGUAUCUUCUCUAAGUUGCUGCUACCUGCAAUGGAGAGGGGGAGGCUAUAGUCUAGCACUAUCAUGGGAGGAAGUGCUCUUACUUUCUUCUGAAAUCUGGUGUGGGUGGGGCUUGAUGCUUGGCCAUGUCUCCGUUUCCACGUACAACUGUAGGGUACGUGAGGGCGAUCGAUCGAUCUCCUUUGCUUCGAUCGCCGGAGCUUGAGACUCGGUGGAACGGUCAAGCCGCUUGAUCGACCGCCAAGGUAGGAGCAGCAGCAUUAUUCUGUCAGCAUCAAUGGAAGAGAACGUAGACACAAGUUAUAGUGCUGCUGACAGACACAACUUAGAGAUGUUGUCGUCGACGCUCUCUUCCAUUGAUGCAGGCUGCUGCUCUCUCUCUCCCUCUCUCUCUCUCUUAUGAAUUUGGAUAUCACCUACUGAUGUACUUCACCGUUCCCUCAACAAAAGGUACUACCCAGCUAGCGCUAUAGUUCAAGUUUGCAGCUGCUCUUUGCUUGCAUCUAAAUUUCAAGUUUGCAGCCGACGAACAUGUUGUAGAUGGUCGCCAUGACGGCGCCCAGAAUGAAGGACAAACAUGCAAAACUGCUAGUGUUGCUACUUCCCUCGUCUUCAUUUUCCUGACCAGAAAAACAUCAUUCUCCCCUCUUCUUUAGAAACCGUUGAUCUGAAAUUGACCAAAAAACUGCUAGUGUUGCUGCAAAUUUACCCCUCAAAGAGACAAGCAAAACCCGCAAAAGUCCAUAAAUUGUAGCAGCUUCAGUUCAUUAUGAAAAGAAGGAGCAAAAAAAUGUUCACGUAAUGGAUCGUUGAUUCACUAGGUGCAGAAUAGUUGUUUGGGAAAGUUCAACUUCAUUUUUCCGGUGCACUUCAUGUCAAUCCCCUACUAGCAAAUCAUAGAAAAAAUUGAAAACGUGGUUUUCAUGUUGAAGUUUGUGCGUGUUUAGUUUGCUUGGUUCGUGUUACCUGCUAAUGCCUUACUUGUGUUCCUGAUUAUUUUAACUCCAAACAAGUUGAGGUGGGUUUGGACUUCAGCGACAAGGCGGGCUCAGAAAAACUCGCCGCCCCUCACGUCGAGCUCAACUGCUCCUGUCUAUAGUCGCUCCUCCCGCUGCUCGUCACCGACCAAGAUGGUGUGAGGCCGAGCUUUUGCACCAUGGUCAACACGGCCUCCCGCCGGUGACUCCUUGAGAUAGAGGCAUGCACAUGCUCGUCCGUCAUGUACGCCGUCCAGCAGCCCUUCUGUCAUCGCGUAACAUUUCUGUUCCCAGUCGUCCGCACCACCAGAUUCCUGGAUGUCCUUGCAGGCCAGCACCCUGGGGAAGAUGAUGUGGUGUGUCAUGUAAAAAAAGUCACAGAUGUUAGUGAGAGAGAAAUCGUUGCUUUCCUAUUAUUCUCAGAAGUGUGGUCUCGUGAGUGUGUCAUGUACAAUUGUCCGUGUUUAAGAAGUGGAUAAACUUUUUAUGCCUUUAUGUUAGAAAAAACCCGAAUAUGAUAAACCCUUUUGGUUCUUUUUUGUUUUCUCUUUUGUAAAUAUACUUAUUAUUAAUGAAAAUAACCGUAGAACAAUUGUUCUACGAUUGGUGCUUC